rnacentral:rRNA from 1 species
UACAGAGGGGGCAAGCGUUGUUCGGAAUUACUGGGCGUAAAGGGCGCGUAGGUGGCCUUCUAAGUUGAACGUGAAAUCCCUGGGCUCAACCGAGGAACUGCUUUCGAGACUGCCGAGCUAGAGUGCGGAAGGGGCAACUGGAAUUCCCAGUGUAGCGGUGAAAUGCGUAGAUAUUGGGAAGAACACCGGAGGCGAAGGCGGGUUGCUGGGCCGACACUGACGCUGAGGCGCGAAAGCCAGGGGAGCAAACAGG